CUUUUGUAAUAUUAUGACUUUUAUUCAUUAAAAACAUGAGAGGGGGGUUCAUAGGCUUUAAUAGACUUUUGAAGGGGUUCAGGCAAAAAAAAAGAGUUUAAGAACCCCUGGACUAGAAUAAUAGAGCUUCUCUCUCUUUCUCUCUCUUUUCAAUUUCAAAUCAGCUAUUUUGUACUUUCCUAUUCUUUAUAGGGAUUCCUUAGAGCUUUAAGAUGCCAUUUGUACUAAAUAUUCUUAAAUUUUUGGGAACUAUUAUGUGACCCUGUGUUUUUCCAUUGUUGUUUAAUUUAGGAUUUGCCCCAAUAUCUGGACUUAAAGGAAAACAUGUUUUGUUGUCUAUGACAGGAGUCCUGACCUUGGAGAAACGCAACCACCAAUCUCAUAGGAUUCCAUUGUUUGAGUCAUUGACCAGAACAAGCAGCUCAUAAUGCAGUGAGGAUGUGCACAGAUGGGAACCACUUCAGAAGCCAGAGAGAAAAAUCUCAUGCUACUCACACACUCUUUCACCUAAAAUCCAGAGGGCACUUGCUGCAGCAGAUGCAGAAAUAAAAACACAAUUGAAAAAGGUGGAAAGACUUCAUAAUAUGUGAAAUCUUGUUUUAGCCCUAUGUGCCUAAGGGGAGCACAGACUAGACCCUACGGAGGUUUUGCAAGUAAGAGACAUCACAGGUUCCUGCACAGCCUCAGAGAACAAUACUGCUGAAGCUAAAGAAUAUCAUGAAACUGCUGACCAUCCACACCAAGGAAAUCAUGUUUCUAUCAAUGUAUGGGAGAAAGGGCAAAAGAUUAUUGAAGAAAUGGAGAAUUAAAGCAAUCCACUGCAGAUUUCAGCCACAUAAUUGCUAUCCAAAUAUUACACUUACAAUAGUUACAGAAAUAAUAGAGAAGGUGGAAGAAUACCAAUUCAGAAGCCACUUAAAUAAUUCACAUCAUAAAAAUAGCUCUGCUAAAAGCUUUGCUGAGGCUCCUGCUUUCUGCUUUUCAGCUACAGACCAAAGAUGAUUCUAAAUAAAGAACAAUUUCA
rnacentral:lncRNA from 1 species